UGAGGAAUAUUGGACAAUGGAUGGAAAUCUGAUCCAGCCAUGCCGCGUGCAGGAAGACGGCCCUAUGGGUUGUAAACUGCUUUUGUAUGGGAGCAAUAAGGACUACGUGCAGUUUGAUGAGAGUACCAUACGAAUAAGCAUCGGCUAACUCCGUGCCAGCAGCCGCGGUAAUACGUAGGGUGCAAGCGUUAAUCGGAAUUACUGGGCGUAAAGCGUGCGCAGGCGGUUCGGAAAGAAAGGUGUGAAAUCCCAGGGCUUAACCUUGGAACUGCACUUUUAACGACCGGGCUAGAGUACGUCAGAGGGGGGUAUAAUUCCACGUGUAGCAGUGAAAUGCGUAGAUAUUACUUAGAACACCAAUUGCGAAGGCAGGUUACCAAGAUAUAACUGACGCUGAGGGACGAAAGCGUGGGGAGCGAACA
rnacentral:rRNA from 1 species